rnacentral:rRNA from 1 species
CCUACGGGAGGCAGCAGUGAGGAAUAUUGGUCAAUGGACGAGAGUCUGAACCAGCCAAGUAGCGUGAAGGAUGACUGCCCUAUGGGUUGUAAACUUCUUUUAUAUGGGAAUAAAAUGUUCCACGUGUGGGAUUUUGUAUGUACCAUAUGAAUAAGGAUCGGCUAACUCCGUGCCAGCAGCCGCGGUAAUACGGAGGAUCCGAGCGUUAUCCGGAUUUAUUGGGUUUAAAGGGAGCGUAGGUGGAUUGUUAAGUCAGUUGUGAAAGUUUGCGGCUCAACCGUAAAAUUGCAGUUGAAACUGGCAGUCUUGAGUACAGUAGAGGAGGGCGGAAUUCGUGGUGUAGCGGUGAAAUGCUUAGAUAUCACGAAGAACUCCGAUUGCGAAGGCAGUUCACUGGACUGCAACUGACACUGAGGCUCGAAAGUGUGGGUAUCAAACAGGAUUAGAUACCCCUGUAGUC